GUAUAUAAAUGCAUAUUUACGCAUCAAUUUAAAAAAUUUAUGUGAAUUUCAUAUUUGAAAUCUUCUAUAAAUUUGAAAAUUUCUUGAAUUAUGUGAAUCUAAUCAAACAAUGACUACAAAAUAAUAAAUCAAAGCUUAUAUAACUUAAGGUUUUGGCCUUUCUCAGUGAUUUUUAAGUUAAAGUUAAAGAUGUACCUUUAAAGUUAUAUGGUUUUAAUGAUACGCAUGACAGGGGGAUACGAUUCAUGCAACUGUUAAUGAGGAUGUGGUUCCGAUCUUUGAAUCUUUCCUCGAAGAAGGUGAUUCGAAGAUAUUCAUCAAUUUUUCGCUUUCUCAAGCAUGUGGCUCCUAUCGAUUAACCAAGCAUCCUUACAAAAUUUGGUUCCAAGCCACCACUCGGAUUCGACUUUGUGACGAUUUGCCAUACAGAUUGACUGGUUUUACCCAUGUUAAUUUUCGUGAAAUCUUAGACGAAACUCUCAGCCCUGAAUACUUGAUCGGUGAGUCUAAAUGAAAUAGAUGUUCUGACCAUUAACCGUGAUCACAAAUAUUAUACUUUCGUUUUUUUUCUUAUUUUGUAGAUAUUAUGGGUCAGAUAGUAGAGGUAACUCAUGUUGAAAUCGUAUCUCUCAAUGGGAAGGACACGGAAAAGAUUACAUUACUCUUAAAAAAUGAAGAGUGAGUAAAACGAUUUAAUAUAGUUUCGUUUUUAUUUUUUAACGAUCUACUAUCAAUUUUUUUCUACUUAACAUGCUCACCACCAUAACCUUUUAUAUUUUGAUCCUCAGAGAUGUUAGGCUUCCAUUGGUUGUAUGGGGAAAGGCUGCACUAGAUCUAAGCGAAGCAAUUCAACUUCUUUCUGAUCGAACUCUCAUUUGUGUUAUGAAGUUUGUGAAGAUCAAAGUAUGGAAAGGUAAAAGUUCUUUAUUUUCAUGAGGUUUCUUAUUUUUAAUGAUCCUUAUAAAUAUGAUAUUCUUAUACGUGGAAAACAUGUUCUUAAAAGAUGAGCGAAGCGUAUGCAAUGCAUACAAUGUGUUUGCCGUGUCCCUUAAUCCGUUUAUUGAAGAGGUUGAAGCUUUUGCCAAAUUGUAAGUUUGGAAACAUUGUUUGAAAAUAGUGGAGUUGUAUUUAUUUUGAAAAUCUUUUAUCAGUAUUGAUUUUCAUAAUAUGAUUAGGUUACCAAAGGAAAAUAUAUCUUUGGCAAUUGUGCAGUCUAAACCACUUUCCAUGGUGUCAAUGAUGUCAGAGGAACACUACAAGAAAUAUGAGUAUUGGUAGCAGUUCACCGUAGCACAAAUUCACGAAGUGCUACUAAUACAGUCAAAAUUGGAUCAUAAUUCUAUGGUAGCACUAAAUUCGUGCUAGCAAAGAUUUUCAUUAAGCUGAGACCCAAAAAUGACUUUUAUAGCGGGAUAUUUAUGUUGGAGCCAAAAAACUUAGCGAAAUUUUCUGAUUUUGGCGGAUCUACACUUUUUUUUUUGCUAAAGUCAUUUUUUCAUUCAUCACCCACCAAAAAAAAAAAAUUAUUCUCAUCAAUCUCUCAUCGAUCUUCUGUUCUUUCUAUUUUCAGAUCUCAUCUCCCCUCUGUUCUUAAUCAUCUGCCUCUCUAUCUUACUCUCCUAACCUCACUCACACCCACACGAUUUCUCAACACAGACAUCUCUCUCUGUUUCACUCUCCUAGUCUCGUCUUCAUCUUGUUCGAGCACUGGUAUGUUGCAGAAAGUUCGACGAAUUCGACGGAUCUAACCGCGCUCGCACCGGAUUCGUGAGCCGUCUCGAAGUUCCCAAAGUAUCCGACUGUAACAGUCGUAAUCCCUCUCUCUCUCUCUCGUCCCUUUUCUCUCGAUAAGCCCUUAAUCGAAGGUCUUUAUUGAUUUGUUAUUUUGCAGAGAGAAAGUAUGAAAAGGUGACCUUGAAGCAUAACCACAAGUUCCUUAUAAAGGUUAAGGAGCACCAAGAAGGCAAAGGAUGCUAAGAAGCUAGGGCUUAACCGUAACCAUGUGUAAUCUCUGUCUCAGAUUGAGAUUGUAGUCAGCUUGACCCUUGACUCAAGCGUAAACCUUUCUCCGGUUUGUAUAAUCUCUGAUUGAGAUUUUAGAUGAAGGGUUUAUUGUUCUGAUUCUAUAACUCUCGAAAGAUCUCUUCUUUUGCUCUCUUGAUUAAGGAUUCGUAGAUUAUUGAACCAUGGAGACUCGGUGAUGGAUAUAAGGAGUUCUUUCUUGAUGCCCCAGACUCGGUGAGGUAUAUACAUUGAUAACGAGAUGAUUUGUCUUUGAUAUAUUCAAUCAUAUCUUUGCUGUGGGAAUGUUUGUAGUUUACCUGCAGGGUCCAAACAAUCAAGGUCAUUGGCUUGUUAAAUCUAUUCAGUGUGUACUUGAUAUUCUAAAGAAUGCUGAUAGCAAUGCUGAGGUUACUUUGGAGUUUUGACUCCAUUACUCUUUGUUCUGUUUAAUUGAAUUGGCCCUUGUGUUCAGGGAUGCUGGUGUCUCAGCCAUUGCUUCCCACCUUACCCGUUCCAUGACAGUCAGUACAUCGUUUGGUGGGGACUUCAAGGUAGUUCUUAAACUGAUUUUAUAUUGUGUCUAAAGUCUAUCUUUGCAAGAUUGCUAUUGACAUCAUCACUUUUUGUCGUAUCAGAUUUGGGUUUGCAACAGUGAGAAGAGCCAGAAGGCUAAAGACUCUAGCUGAAUAUGUCAUGCAGUUGGUUCUUAUAUGUAAUAUCUUUUAUAAGCAUUAGGAAUCUUAAACAUUCACAACUGAUUCACGGAUGGGAGUAAUGUAUUACACGUUGGGGAGGUUUAUGUAUAUUUUGGUGCAGUCUACAGCACUUGAGAUGGUUUAGUUUAUUAAUUAUCCAAGAACAUACAAGAUAUAUAAAUGUAUAUCUAAAAUACUAUUAAUCAUACUCUAAACCCUUAAUUUUUAAUAUUUCAUCAUAAAAUCCAAAGAUACCAACAAAUAAUAUGAUAUAAUUAAAAUCUAACACUAAUAAUAAACUAGAAAUUUUUUUUUGCUUCAAGUUCUAAACCCUAAACAUACCAUAAUUCCAAGAAAAAAUGGUGUUCCAAGAAAAAAAGAAUAAAAAAACAACAACAAAACAAUCUGAUUGAUGUUCUUCGUAUUAUCAAUAAGCCUACUGCUACUUCUUUGGUUUAUGCUUUUGAAAGGAGAAGCAAUUAAAUAAUUAUUGUCUUUGAUCUUGGUGGUGGUAUCUUUGAUGUCUCUGGUACUUUACAUUAAACUGUUGCUAUAUAUAUAUUAGUUUGAUAAAACGGUUACAGUUUUGUAAACGAAUUUUGAUUUAUAAAAACUCAAUUGCAAUGUAUCUCAAUUGGUGACAAAAAAAAGAAAAAAAAAUCUAAUUUGGGGUACAUGAUUAAAUUGCAAUGUAUAAAUGAUAAUUAAACAUUUAGAUUAAAUUUAAUAUUUGAACUUAAAUAAUGAACAGUAGAGUUUUAAGAUUUUUAGUUAGAUUUGGGUAUAUGAUUAAUUUGGGGUUUAAACCCUUACCCUAAACAUAAACAUUAAAAUUUCAAUAUUUUCAUAAUAUAAUUUCGAUCUUAAAUUUAAAUUUAAAGUUUAAUAAUUUUAAAAAUAGAAUCUCAAAUUUAAAUUAUAACCCUCAAACAUUAAAUCUUAAAUCUAUACCCUAAAUAUAAUACCCUAAACCCCAAACUUAAAUCUUACAUACAAAGUCAUAAAUCUAUUUUUUAAUUUAUAAUAUAAAUUUUAAACUUAGACUCCAAAUAUAUUCUAAAACUCAAACCAUAUACUUAAUUAUAAAUCUUAACCCUAAACCCUAAACCACAUACUUCAUAUUAACCUACAUCAUAAAUCCUAAUUUACAAAUUUCAAAAAUUUAAAUAUAGGUUUUGGAAUUUAGACUUUGAGUAUAUAUUCCAAACCAUAUACAAUAACUCUAAAUCUUAUACACCAAAUCAUAAAAUCCAAACAUCAAAUUUAACCUUUUCAAAUUUAAACACCAAAACCUAAACAUAGAUACUAAUAAAAAAUUUCAAAUUGUAUUCUCAAAUUUUACUCUAAACCCCAAACCUAAGACUCCAAAUAAACUUUAAUCAUGAACAUUAACCUUAUAUUUAAAACUUUUAAAUUAGACUAAACUUUUAACUUUAAUCAUAGUCAUUAAUCAAAUCCUAUAUUAUAAAUCUAUUAUUUAAAUUUAAAUUCAUUUGUUUAAACCCCAUAUAAACCCAUUCAUAUUUAAGUGAAUUAGAAGCUUAUUUGAUGACCAAAGAAAAAGAAUUAACAGCUUAAUUCUGAUUGGACCAAAAAGUGAGGCGUGGAUCACCAUUUUUCGAAUCUCUGCCGUUGGUAAUAUUAAUCUUACGGCUCAGAUUAAUUCACUAUUAAUAUUUUAUGUUUGUUUUAUCUCUUUCUUCCUUUCUUCUUCCUCCACACGAUUCUAUACUUCUUAUUUUCUUCUUCUGUACCUCUUCGAUCUCCUCAUCUAAUCUCAUCUCUCUUAUCCUCUUCCCAUCUCUCUUUCUCCUCUGCUCAUCUUUCAUUUACUUUUCUUCUUUCAAGCAAAUGGAUCUGAACGAAGAGGAUUACCACCGUCAUGCUUCUCACCACCAUGCUCCUUUCUAUUCGGUUUCGCCCUUCACCACCACCACCACCGCACGCUCGUCAACACCACCACCAGUCACGAAAGUGGAGGAGGCACAGGAUUGAUGAAUGAGGCACAGGAGAUUGAUGGAGGAGGUAGCAGUGGUGGGUCGUGAGCAGAGCCGGCUUGAAUGUUGAAGACGAAGAAGCUCGGUGAGGAGGCGGCAGGCGGCGGAGAAUAUACAUUAGGUUUAGAUUAGGGUUAGGUAUAUUUUUAAUUUGGUUUAGUAUGCUAAACCGAUUUUAUUUAUUAAUAGUUUGAAUCUUUUUUAUGUUUGUGUUUUGAAAUCUGGGUUCCGCGGAGGAGGCGGAGGGAAGGAGUUAGGGUUUUUUUAGAUUUUGUUUUUAAACCUGGUUUGUAUGUAAACUGGUUUAGUUUGUAAACCGAAAUUUUUUGUAAUCUGGUUUAAUUUAUAAACCGAUUGUAAACCAAAAUUUUAAUAUAAACCAAAAUCAUUUAUAAA